UACGGAGGGGGCUAGCGUUGCUCGGAAUUACUGGGCGUAAAGGGCGCGUAGGCGGCUCAUGAAGGCUGUGGUGAAAGUCCGGGGCUCAACCUCGGAUCGGCCGUGGCGACUCGUGGGCUGGAGCACUGUAGAGGCGGGUGGAAUUCCGGGUGUAGCGGUGGAAUGCGUAGAGAUCCGGAAGAACACCAGUGGCGAAGGCGGCCCGCUGGGCAGUGGCUGACGCUGAGGCGCGACAGCGUGGGGAGCAAACAGG
rnacentral:rRNA from 1 species